rnacentral:rRNA from 1 species
ACAGAGGGUGCGAACGUUGCUCGGAAUUACUGGGCGUAAAGCGCGUGUAGGCGGGAUGAUAAGUCGGAAGUGAAAUCCCCGGGCUCAACCCGGGAACUGCUUUCGAAACUGCCGUCCUCGAGUACCGGAGAGGGUGGCGGAAUUCCUGGUGUAGAGGUGAAAUUCGUAGAUAUCAGGAGGAACACCGGUGGCGAAGGCGGCCACCUGGACGG